rnacentral:rRNA from 1 species
CAGCCGCCACGGUAAUACGUAGGGUGCGAGCGUUAAUCGGAAUUACUGGGCGUAAAGCGUGCGUAGGCGGUUUGUUAAGUCUGUUGUGAAAUCCCCGGGCUCAACCUGGGAAUGGCAAUGGAUACUGGCAAGCUAGAGUGUGUCAGAGGAUGGUGGAAUUCCCGGUGUAGCGGUGAAAUGCGUAGAGAUCGGGAGGAACAUCAGUGGCGAAGGCGGCCAUCUGGGACAACACUGACGCUGAGGCACGAAAGCGUGGGGAGCAAACAGGAUUAGAUACCCGCGUAGUCCCUGUCUCUUAUAC